GAAAUCCAACAAGGAACGCUCAGAGCCACGCGAGCGGCCGCGCGAUACGGUUUCGAGUGUUUUCAAUGUCGGUGUGAUCACUCGUCGCGUAAUGUGCAUCGACAAAUAUCCGAGCCACGCGAGGCUCGCCUGUGUUGCCCUUUUCCUCACGGCAAUUCUUUCCCCAUUCGGACUCUGCCAGAAUGCCGGGGUGCACGGCACGUUCAGGGACGGGGUUGGGAGACCACCCGACCCUUCCGGCGACAACUCGUACACCAAUCUGGAAACCCAUCAGCAGUAUAGUCGGGACGCAGCUUCUGGGAGAACGGAGGCACUCGAGGAAAACAGAAGGACGCUCACAUCGCGAGGCGUUGUCAAGGAGCCGGAGGAGACGGAAACGGAAGCGAAAGCGGGGGCCCGCGGCGAUGAGCGCGGGGACAAACACCUCCUUUUGUCGGAAAAUGGUGCGAAAAUUCCUCUCGGGCGGAACGUAAACGUCACGAUAUUGAGCAGACAGCAGGAAGGCAAUUUCGGAAGUCGGACGCGCAAGAAGCGCCGUAGGGCGAAGGAGUCGAAGAGUCCCGGUUCCGAGGAUCACGCGAUUGCCGAGGACAGUCGCGAGAACGAGGUGAGCGAGAACGAGCGGGCACAAUCGUCGCAGAGGAGGAACAAUGUCCUGUCGAAGUCGAGGUCGAAGAACCGGGAGGCACGGAAGUCCCGCGCGGAGCGGCGUAGACGGAAAAAGAAGAACAGGAGGGAGCGGAACGGAAGUGAUAGGAGGAAUUCCCGGCGGAACGACAAAAGGCAGGACGUUGCGCGUCGAUCAUCGAAGUACAAGCGGAAGACGCGCGAUGGUACAGCCGAUAAACCCGAUUUCACCGAAGCCUCUACAUCCGAGCUCGCAACCGACAAACCGUUCACCGUCACCCCCAUCGAUCGCGAUUCGCUAACGAUUACUGUCGGCACGACGGCAUCUCCGAGUCCCCAGGAUCGUUCCCCGAUGAUGGGAAGUCUGACGAUGCCACGACGUGGCAUUUACACAGCCGACACCGUGGAGAGAGAACUCUCUAAGCAGCUCGAGAUGGAAAUUUCCAGGUCGGCCGCGAAGGACCCGUCGAUCCUGGAGGAUGGUAUCUUCGACAGCCCUCCGAAGAAAUCGGCUGGAGAACGGAGCGCUUCAAGCGCGGUCAAAAACGCGGAGAAUGCGAUCGCUUCCGGUCAGGUCGAUCUUAGCGAGUCGCGUUAUGACGCCGAGAAGAUGCUGGGCUACUCGAGGACCGAGGAGGACUUGCCGAUUCUGGAACUGGAGAACCAGGUGCUGGAGAGGACCCUGAAGGACUACAACGCGUACAUGACGUCGCGGCUGAAGCUGAUGUCACCGAGCCACGAGGAGUUACCGGCGCCGGCGUCGAUUCGUCGCACCACGGGCGUUCAUUCGCCGAGAAAGCCGAUAAUUAAUUCGGAAGAGAGCGAGGGGGUGUCCGACGACGAUGACGGCAACGACGACGGAAGCGCGGAAGUCACGAGCGCGACGAGUGAGGCGCAGGAUGACGGCACUAGAGGAGACUUAUCAUGCAUAAACGGGACGUUCCUGCCAGCACCUCUAUCUCGCCACGCGCUGAUCAAAUAUGUAAAGUCCUCGACCCCGGGCCACGAGUAUUUGGAAGCCGAUUACGAGUGUGUGCCAGGUUUCCGCAUGACGUCCCCCACGAGCCGAUUAGUCUGCAGGAGUCGUCAGUGGGUGGGACAGGUGCCAAAGUGCGAGAUCAAGCAAAACCCGAACGGGGUAUGCGCCGAGGCAUCCUGCGAGCACGUUUGCAACGAAAUUAACGGGCGUCCCGUCUGCUCCUGCUACAAGGGAUACAGAUUGGAUGGCCGCAAAUGCGUUGACAUCAACGAGUGUCUGUUGAACAACGGGCACGGUCCUUGCCAGGACACCUGUCGAAAUCGCGUAGGAGGCUACGAGUGUUCUUGUGACAGUCUGGUAGGUACAUCACUGGCCGCUGACAAUCACACGUGCGAACACGACAAGCAUAUUGGCCCGUGCAGCGUUAACAACGCCGGCUGCUCUCAUACGUGUCUGUCCACGAUGGGCCGUGUGUUUUGCCUGUGUCCUGACGGCUUCAUGCUGGAGGAUGACUGGAAGACUUGCCAAGAUGUGAACGAGUGCUCGGUGCCGGAUCUUCAGACGGAGUUGUGUCGCUUCGGGUGCAUUAAUACUCCAGGCUCUUAUCGAUGCGCCGAACCCAUGGAGCUGAAGGAUCAACCGGUUCUGGACAGCCUGUCUAUCACUUGCUUGCCGGGUUACGAACAGACACCCCACGGGACGUGCAUCGAUAUCAAUGAGUGUGCGGUUGACAACGGCUGGUGUGCGGAAGUGUGCGAGAACACAGACGGAAGUUUCUUCUGCGCCUGCGACGGGGAUGAGAAAGUCCUGUCAUCCGACGGGAAAUCCUGCGUAGAUAUAAAUAGUAUCGCGUGUGCACCGCUAAAUCCGGUAGGUCGUGGUUAUUUUAUCUGUUCUCGAUUAACCGCGCCUAGACCAUGGCACAGCCGGCGAAAAAUGACCAAUCGACCCGGCACAAGAUGCUCUCUGAAGUGUCCUCCUGGCUUCCAGCUUCGUGGCGAGUACGAAUUGACCUGUCGAUCUGAUGGCACCUGGGAUGGAUCACAGCACGGAAAAUGCGUUAGAUACAACAAGCCCCGAUUGGAGUGUCCAAAGGAUGUCGUAGCCGAGUUACCGCCCGGCAGGGACGAGGCGUUCGUGACCUUCGAUCAGCCGGUGACAGAUCUCGAUUGGUUCCGAUACGUGCGGUCGAAGCCCUCCUGGGGCACGCGGCUCGAGGCCAACCUGAAGCCCGGCGUGCACGAGAUCACGUUUUCCGCGAGACACCCGGUAUCGAAGAAGCAAGCCAGCUGCGUACUGCGCAUUACCGUCAAAGGCGGCGAGGCGCCGAAAGUCAAAGAUUGCCCGAACGACAUCGAGAUAGUCGGCAGGAACGGCACGGCGAUCACCUGGACGGAGCCGACUUUCACGGACAACGUGAAGGUGACGCGAAUCAGUAAUAACGAGAGCCCGGGACAUCGUUUCGACAUCGGCGGCCACAGGAUCGAGUACGAGGCGAGCGACGACGCCGGCUGGUCGAGCAAGUGUAUUUUCACCAUGGUCCUUCGUCGGCAGUGAGCUUCCGGGAUCGCUCGAGGAGGGAUCCGCAAGGAAACAGACUGUGCUAUGUUUCCACAGAAGAGACAGCGAGGAAGAGCGGCACGGAAGAAUAACGACAAGGUUGCACGUGGAAAACACGAGAAAAAGAAUAAUCCGUUCAUGAUAUCCGUUCACGCAUGCACGCGUGCUUCCAACUGCCAGCAACCCUCGUCUCCCGCGUGGCGACACGCCUAAUUAACUUUUAGGGCGCAUAAUUCUAACUACUCGCGAUAAAAUUACACGCGACACAACGACGAUCAACUCGUCGCUCGCAAUCUUCUUCGAUCGGCGUAACUUGACGAUAGCUUAGUGGCGUUAUAACGCCGUGAUGAAAAGCGUUACCGUGAAUUUUACAUGUCAAAUAUUUUAUGCGAGAGAGAGGGUAGCGCACGGAUUUUUCAUUCUCGGAGAGAAACGGGGGUUUCAGCAAUUUGUAUAAUUUACGUUUUCGUAACCGUUUUCCGUAGAGGAGGCGCGCGUAAUGUAAAGUCCUCGUGAAAUCGGCAACGCGCGCGAAGUCGAAUUACCAAUUUGCGGAUCGCCACGCGGAUAUUACGCUCCCAUUUUCCCUCGUGAUUAACGUCGAUACAAUUUUUAUCACAAUCAUGACGAUGUAGCACGGUGCAUAAUGCAACCGCAAUACGGGAUUGCGGACGGAGAAUCGCAUUAUCGAUUCCCGUUCGCCCAACAGUUAAACAAUCGAAUUAACGGGCGCUCGUCGUGUCGCUCGCCAAUACCAUGCGUAUCCUCGAUGCGCACCCCCCAUCACCGACGACGUGACGCUCGAGUAUCUCGAGAUGCUCGUGCAGGUGACGAUGUGGAAUUGCUUCGAAGACACGCCGACACCGGGAUCCUUUCCCGGAUAAGAUUCUCGGCCGAGUCUAUUCGCUGACGAGCCUGCCAGACAAUGGAAAGCACAUCGCGUGUCUGAAUCUCACACACGAGCGUCGAUAUUCUCUAAGCAAACUGACAUGGAAUCUGACGCGAUGUCACACCGCAUAAGCCAUCGCGGUUUACGGCGAUAACAUUAAUGUAGAGAACUAGAGAGAGAGAGAGAGAGAGAGAGAGAACUGCAAAUGUUAUUACCGCUUUACCAGCAGUUUAGAAAUUGCAUCUUACAAAGUAAGAUAAUAACUGACAUCCUUUCAUAAUUUCUUACAAAAAUAUUCACCAUCUUUUUUUUAUUAUUUUGUAUUAAUUAAUAAUUCUUCUUUUAAUCUUUCGGUGCAUUUCAAGAGCUUGGGAAGCUUAGGCUUGCCCAUACCUUCAGCUUUCUUUGCAUUAUUCGAGAUCUAGGAAAAGUAGACUAGUCCUUCGUGCUUGUUUGCUCGCAAUAUAUGCUACUUUAUCUUAUACUAAAAUAUUUUCUCCUUAUCGUUCCUCUAGAAUGUAAAAAUGUAAAACAUAUAACGGUAUAUAUAUGGACUUUCGAGGCCGGUGUAUGAAGUGUAACGAUAGAGAAAAAAACAAUUUGCACCGGAGAAUUAAUAAAAAUAAUGGAAUCAGUGACGCUUUCGACUUAAAAUGUACAAAACGGUUCCGAUUACUUUGCUUUACGUCAGAUGACAACUGACAACUCCUCGAGGCGCAAUCCUUGCGAGAUUCGCAAGAGGCGAAAAGCAAUUUGCAUAAAAUAGUAAAAGUAGCGAAGCAAUAGAUCGCAGUACGCGAUUGGCGCAACGGAUAAUCAACCGCGGUCUAAUUGGAGUGCCAUUCCAUCACGAGAAAACCAGAUACGCGCGGCUAACGCGGGGCUUUUCUUCGUCGCGUUUGAAGCGCAUCGAUUCCAAGAUGCCGUCGGCAUCCUCGUUACAAAGGAUCUCUAGUUAUUGUGUGCUCGGGGGCGCAAAACUACAGCAGGGUUUUCGGAAAACGGAGGGGUAUUCGUCCCCGCAACGCGCGCGCAUUCUCAUUAGUACGCGGCCGCACGAAUCAACAACGUUCGCGCGCUGAUUAAUUAAUAACGCUCGUCGCAAACCGAUAGCCGAUCCGGGUGCAUUUAAUAACCGCGGCCUUCGAUGCGGUUUCGCGUCUCGAUAAACGGCAUAAUCGGAAAUAUGUUGCGCGGUGUAACGGAGAAAAGCGAACCGCCGUGAAACGAGCUCGAGCACGCACCGAGCGUAACUUUGCGCGUCGCGAAUAAAGAUUCCGGCAAUUGAACGGUCGAGGAAAUAACUAUGUGGUCUCUGCGCGGCGAUUUAAUCCUCCUGGAGCUAGCGUUUCUCAAAAAUCCCGCUCUAGUUUCGCGCGCAAAGUUAUUCCCCUCGAAGGGCCGCUUGAUCCUAGUAGAUGAGAGACAGAUGGGUUCCCCGUUUGCUAUUUAUUGAAAUUCCUCUAUACGUCACUCUCGCAUAUCAUCGUUAACGAUAACGAUCGAGAUUGUCAUUAUAUGAUAUUAUUAUGGAUGUAUAAAAUUUAUGUAUUAAA
rnacentral:misc_RNA from 1 species